rnacentral:rRNA from 1 species
CAAAUACUCUCGGGGUGGACAGCUAAUGAAACAUAAGUAAUUUUUUAAAAUUCAUGAUGUCGUAAGGGAAAAUAAUGAUAAUACCUUACUAUGAGUGUCGUCCAAAUCUGGUGCCAGAAGACUCGGUAAGACCAGAGACGCAAACGUUAAUCAUCAUAAACAGGCGUAAAGGGUUUGUAGGCAGCUUUCACCAAACUAUGAUUACAAAAUAAAGUAGUUUAAUUGAAAGCUAGAAUCAAAAAGAGGUUAUAGUGUAUAACGCCUAGAGGAGGGCUGAUAUCCAUAGAUCCUAGGCAGAAUACUCAGGGCGAAGGCCACUCUCCACUACUGAUUGACGCUGAGAAACGAAGGUUAGGGUAGGAAAUAGGAUUAGAUACCCCGGUACUCCUUUCUGUAAACGAUGAAUGGUAGUCAUUAGUUUUAUAACUAGAGACGAAGUUAACACAAUAACCAUUCCGCCUUGUGAGUACUACUGCAAAGUAGAAAACAAAAAAAUUAGUCGGUCUCGAAGCAAACGGAGUGAAGCAUGUUAUUUAAUUCGUAUCCCGCA